AGUGAACGCUGGCGGUAGGCCUAACACAUGCAAGUCGAACGGCAGCACAGUAAGAGCUUGCUCUUACGGGUGGCGAGUGGCGGACGGGUGAGGAAUACAUCGGAAUCUACUUUUUCGUGGGGGAUAACGUAGGGAAACUUACGCUAAUACCGCAUACGACCUACGGGUGAAAGCAGGGGAUCUUCGGACCUUGCGCGAUUGAAUGAGCCGAUGUCGGAUUAGCUAGUUGGCGGGGUAAAGGCCCACCAAGGCGACGAUCCGUAGCUGGUCUGAGAGGAUGAUCAGCCACACUGGAACUGAGACACGGUCCAGACUCCUACGGGAGGCAGCAGUGGGGAAUAUUGGACAAUGGGCGCAAGCCCGAUCCAGCCAUACCGAGUGGGUGAAGAAGGCCUUCGGGUUGUAAAGCCCUUUUGUUGGGAAAGAAAAGCAGCAGGUUAAUACCCCGCUGUUCUGACGGUACCCAAAGAAUAAGCACCGGCUAACUUCGUG
rnacentral:rRNA from 1 species